rnacentral:rRNA from 1 species
AGUGAACGCUGGCGGUAGGCCUAACACAUGCAAGUCGAACGGCAGCACAGUAAGAGCUUGCUCUUACGGGUGGCGAGUGGCGGACGGGUGAUGAAUACAUCGGAAUCUACUUUUUCGUGGGGGAUAACGUAGGGAAACUUACGCUAAUACCGCAUACGACCUACGGGUGAAAGCAGGGGAUCUUAGGACCUUGCGCGAUUGAAUGAGCCGAUGUCGGAUUAGCUAGUUGGCGGGGUAAAGGCCCACCAAGGCGACGAUCCGUAGCUGGUCUGAGAGGAUGAUCAGCCACACUGGAACUGAGACACGGUCCAGACUCCUACGGGAGGCAGCAGUGGGGAAUAUUGGACAAUGGGCGCAAGCCUGAUCCAGCCAUACCGCGUGGGUGAAGAAGGCCUUCGGGUUGUAAAGCCCUUUUGUUGGGAAAGAAAAGCAGCAGGUUAAUACCCCGCUGUUCUGACGGUACCCAAAGAAUAAGCACCGGCUAACUUCGUG